GCUGUAGUCCUGAACACAUAAAUGUACUGUAUCACUCAGCCCCAGAUUAUUAAACAUUCUCUACAUAUCACUCAAGUAUCUCCAUUACCUGACUGUCUGUGAAAUAUGGUGCCAAUGGGCAACUGAUGUUGUAGAGAUGAUGUGAAUCUGUUUCUUUGGUUGUGUCAUAGCUGUGAGCUGUGUGGUGUCAGGAGUGAUCACAAAGAGAGUGACAGAAGGAGGAAAUGCUAGCAUUCAGUGUCCUUAUGCACAGGGGUUUGAGACAUACCAGAAGUACCUCUCAAAAGGGAUCUGGGCCUACCGGGUUGAUGUCAUCAAAACCCAAAGGCAUCAACACCCAGCGUGGACUCAUAAAGGGAGAUACUCUCUGUAUGACGACACAGAGAGAAGAGUCUUCACUGUGACCAUCACUAACCUGACCCUAGAGGACUCAGGGACCUACUGGUGUGAAAUAAACACAUGGUGGUGGUAUCACAAGACUGAAGUCAGGUUAACUGUGGAGAGAGCUCCUUCUCCUCCCAACCCUGGCUCCAUCACCUCCAGACCUCUCCUCACCACGACACACCCAUCAACAAACAUCACCAUGGCAACUGACUCCUCAAACUCCACUGCAGGUGAUGUGAUGUUCUCUGGUGUUGGUCUGGGUGUUGUUCUACUACUGCUGGGUCUGCUGCUGUUCAUGUUCUUUAGACAGAGGAG